rnacentral:rRNA from 1 species
CCUACGGGGGGCAGCAGUAGGGAAUCUUGCACAAUGGACGAAAGUCUGAUGGAGCAACGCCGCGUGAGGGAAGAAGGGUUUCGGCUCGUAAAGCUCUGUUGGUAGUGAAGAAAGAUAGAGGUAGUAACUGGCCUUGAUUUGACGGUAAUUACGUGGAAAGUCACGGCUAACUACGUGCCAGCAGCCGCGGUAAGACGUAGGUGGCAAGUGUUGUCCGGAUUUAUUGGGCGUAAAGGGAGAGCAGGCGGUUCAAUAAGUCUGAUGUGAAAGCCUUCGGCUCAACCGGAGAAUUGCAUCAGAAACUGUUGAACGUGAGUGCAGAAGAGGUGAGUGGAACUCCAUGUGUAGCGGUGGAAUGCGUAGAUAUAUGGAAGAACACCAGUGGCGAAGGCGGCUCUCUGGUCUGCAACUGACGCUGAGGCUCGAAAGCGUGGGUAGCGAACAGGAUUAGAUACCCGAGUAGUC